rnacentral:tRNA from 1 species
GGGCCCGUAGCUCAGUUGGUAGAGCAUCUGACUUUUAAUCAGGCGGUCACAGGUUCGAAUCCUGUCGGGCUCA